UAGGGAAUAUUACACAAUGGGCGAAAGCCUGAUGCAGCAACGCCGCGUGCGCGAAGAAGGCCUUCGGGUCGUAAAGCCCUUUUGUCAGGGAAGAAGUUCUGACGGUACCUGACGAAUAAGCCUCGGCUAACUACGUG
rnacentral:rRNA from 1 species